GAUGAAGAACGUAGCGAAAUGCGAUAAGUAAUGUGAAUUGCAGAAUUCAGUGAAUCAUCGAAUCUUUGAACGCACCUUGCGCCCUUUGGACUUCUGAAGGGCAUGCCUGUUUGAGUAUCAUGAACACCUCAACUCCUUAUGGUCUUCCAUGAUGAGCUUGGACUUUGGGGGUUUUGCUGGCCUACAGUCAGCUCCUCUAAAAUAAAUCAGCUUACCGGUGUUUGGUGGGUAUCAUGGGUGUGAUAACUAUCUACGCUCGUGGUUUUCCACCAGGUAACCUUCAGCAGUGGAGGUUCACUGGGGCUCAUAGAUGUCUCUCCUCAGCGAGGACAGCCCUUUGAAUGUUUGAUCUCAAAUCAGGUAGGACUACCCGCUGAACUUAAGCAUAUCAAUAAGCGGAGGA
rnacentral:misc_RNA from 1 species